rnacentral:rRNA from 1 species
GAUGGCCUACCUUGUUUCUGUAGCCGGCCUGAGAGGGCGACCGGCCACACUGUUACUGAGACACGGCCCAGACUCCUACGGGAGGCAGCAGUGGGGAAUAUUGCACAAUGGGCGAAAGCCUGAUGCAGCGACGCCGCGUGAGGGAUGACGGCCUUCGGGUUGUAAACCUCUUUCAGCAGGGAAGAAGCGAAAGUGACGGUACCUGCAGAAGAAGCGCCGGCUAACUACUUUCAGCCGCGGUAAUACGUAGGGCGCGAGCGUUGUCCGGAAUUAUUGGGCGUAAAGAGCUCGUAGGCGGCUUGUCACGUCGGUUGUGAAAGCCCGGGGCUUAACCCCGGGUCUGCAGUCGAUACGGGCAGGCUAGAGUUCGGUAGGGGAGAUCGGAAUUCCUGGUGUAGCGGUGAAAUGCGCAGAUAUCAGGAGGAACACCGGUGGCGAAGGCGGAUCUCUGGGCCGAUACUGACGCUGAGGAGCGAAAGCGUGGGGAGCGAACAGGAUUAGAUACCCUGGUAGUCCACGCCGUAAACGUUGGGCACUAGGUGUGGGCGACAUUCCACGUCGUCCGUGCCGCAGCUAACGCAUUAAGUGCCCCGCCGUGGGGAGUACGGGCCGCAAGGCUAAAACUCAAAGGAAUUUGACGGGGGCCCGCACAAGCCGCGGAGCAUGUGGCUUAAUUUCGACGCGACGCGAAGUAUCGUUACGGAAGGCUUUGACGAUACACCGGAAAGCCGUA